rnacentral:tRNA from 1 species
AGAAAUUUAGGUUACAUAAAACAAGGACCUUCAAAGCCCUAAACAUGGACCCAAAUCCAUAAUUUCUG